CCACUGAGCCAUAUCCCCAGCCCUAUUUUGUUUUUUUAUUUAGAGACAGGAUCUCACUGAUUUGCUGGGUGCCUUGUGCCUUGGCCUCUCAAGCCACUGGGAUUAUAGGCAUUCACCACUGCACACCACUAGGAAGUUUUUGUUUUUUUUUUUAAGGAGUUGGAAUUUAGCUGAAAGAGGUAAAAGGAGAGAGAGGACCUUAAACAGUUCACAACACCAUGGAAAUAAUUAAGGUAGAUAAAAAUCACCAGUGAAUCCUAAAACUGUGGGGUAAAAGCUUUUGGAGAACAAUGUAUUUUCUGUCUUAAAAUAGUAAAUUUGCACAACUUUUAUAAAUUUAAAGGGAAUGGUUACCUUUGUGAUGGUAAUCUGACAGACUAAGCAAGUGGUUAAAUUUAGCAUAAAAAGGCAUUAAUUUGACAACUAAGGAAAAUGAAAUAACAACUUUAAAUUACUAAGUGAAUAUUAAUUUUCUGAGUGAGACAUUUGUGCUAUGGUUAUUCAGAAGACUUCUUGUUUUUAUCAAAUAUGCUGAAGCUUUUAGAGAUAAAUCACAAUAACUGCAACUGACUCAAGUGACUAAGUGGGAAGAUACACACAGACACACACACAGAUAUAAAGAAAAAGAUAAAACAAAUAUGACAAAAUAACACUUAGUCAAUCUAGGCAAAUAGUGUACAGAUGUUUGUUGCACUACUCAUGCAGCUUUGCUGUAGAUUUGAAAUUUUUCAGAUUAAAACAGUUGGCAGUGGCAGGGUGGAGAGAAGGAAGGAUAAACCUAAAAGUUAAGUGAUCUUCUUUGGAUAAGAAAAUGGUGAUUGUUAGGUUUUAUUUUUUUUUUUAAUUUCUUCUCUAUUUUUAAAAUAUAUAUGAAUUUAGUUCUUAUAAUGGGUUAAAGAAUUAAGCAUAAGACCUGAAACUGUAAUAUUUCUAGAAUAAAACAGAGGAAUUGCUCCAUGACAUUGGUUUGAGCAAAGACUACUUAUAUAUAGGCCAAAAACACAGGGAACAAUAAUAAAUAUAAACAAAGGCAUUGCAUCAAAGAAGCUUCAGCACAGCAAAAUAAACAACAGGAUGAAGAAACAAUACAUGGAUUGAGCAAAAAUAUUUGCAAACUAUGUGUUAGGGGAUGAAUAUUCAAAAUAUAUAAUAGACUUGAACAACUUAAUAGCAACAAAAUAAAUAAUGAUCCAAAAAUGGCCAAAGAACUGGGAAUGUAGAUCCAUGGUAGAUACUUGCCUAGCAUGCGUGAGUAAUAAAGCCCUAUGUUCAAUUCCCAGCGACACUUCCAGCAAAAAAGCAAAGAAAUUAAAGACAUUUCUUCAAACAAGACAUAACAAACAUAAAUGGCCAACAGACACAUUAAAAAAAAUGUUCAUCAUCACUAAUCACCAGGGCAAUGCAAAUUAAGACCACAAUAAGAUGUUUCACACUGUUAAAAUGUCUAUUAUCAAAAAAAAAAAGGAAGAUAAUUAGGGCAUGACGGUAUGCUUGUAACCCCAUUGAGUUGGGAGGCUGAGGCCGAAGGAUUGCAAAUUCAAAGGCAGACCCUGUCUCAAAAAUAAGGAAAUAACACCGGGGUUGGGUAUGUGGUUCAGUGGUGUUCCUAAGUUCAAUCCCUAGUAUGGAAAAAUAAGUAAAUAAUACAUAAACACAGGGUGGAUUCUGUUAUUUGUGAUAAUACAGAUGAACAGUGUGUGUGUGUGUGUGUGUGUGUGUGUGUAUACAAUAUGGAAAACAAUAUGCUAAGUGAAAUAAGCCAGGCACAGAGGGACAAAUACCAUAUAAUCUCACCAAUACAUACAAUCUAAAAAAGUUGAACUCAUAGGAGACAGUUGGAUGAUGGAUGAUGAAGCCAGGGUGGCAUUGGCUGGGGAAAGGGGAAAUAUUGACCAAAGAGUAUAAAAUUUUAGGUAGAUCAGGGUAAAUAAGUUCACUGAUUUAUCAUACAGAAUGGUAACUAUAAAA
rnacentral:lncRNA from 1 species